UGCCUACGUCAUCGGAGUGGUUGGUUGGUUUCACGACACUGUGUCUGUAGGCGGAGGAAGUAGAAGAGCAGUAGUUUUACCGAAAUUUACAGAGAGAAAAGAAGCCGAAAGAGAUAACGUUAUUAAUCUAUCACCAAACCCAAUGGCCUAUGCCUUUGAGCCAGUGACGAGGAGGAGGAGGGUGGAAAUUUACAAUUUCGCGGAGGAGGAGGCGGCUGCAGCUGCUCCGGACGAGGAUGGCAGCCAGGAGAGGGUCGGCAACACUGCUUGGUGCAUGUGUGGGCACGGCUCCGCAAUGCCGACCACCGUGGAGUCCAUCUGUUGCCGUGAAGCUGAUGUGGAUUGUAGGUUAGGGGAGCUGUCCUGCAUAACCCUAUCCCGCACCUUCCAGAUGCUCUGUUGUGAGAGGGACGUCUUGGAGGUGUCUAUGCUAUCCCUGCGUGAAGUCCGUGCAGAGAUUGGAGCGGCCUAUAAACAGCAGUCUGUUCAGGUUAACUGCAUACAGACAGUUCACUUUAUGGGCCAGAGGACACCUUGGGAGGAGGAACAGGUUGCCUAUUCCAGCAUGUGUGGUGAACAUCAUCAGGACUGCUUUCCCAUCUCCGGAAUACCACGGCUUUGAAUAUUGGGACAAUGAUGACUUUUAAUGUCGGGAGCUUCAUGGGGCAGCAGCGGUGCAAAGCGGCUGAGCUUUCUUGCCACAGAUUGAGCCUUUUCAGGUUUCUCAACCCCUUUGUGCUGGGCCAGGGUGCAUGUUGUCUCUGUUUUGUGCUGUUGGAGUUCUGCACGUAUGGAUGCAGCCUCGGCCCUGCGCAACACACCGGACACAAUGUCUUCCCUAAAGUGGCUCUGCUGACAUUGAGGUUGUGGUCCAGUGCAGCUGUUUUCAGCCUGGCCUCAAAGCUCUCCCUGAGAAACUUCUUCCUCUUGGUGGCAUAUUUUGUGUACAAGGAGUAGUGUACACUCUCAAGCUGCCCUGUGCAUAAAGAUGAAACGGUAUGAAAACUUCAUAUUGCAAUUAUUGUGACCAAAAUUAUCACAGUUAUCAUUUGUAUUACUGUAUUGUUUAAUUGUGUACUGUUUAAAAAAAAGUGUUGAGGCACUCACUGAAAUCAUUUGGCUUUUGUAUUGAUAACUCUAAUUAAAUUAGGAUCACUAUGCAUUUUUGUUUGCAUAAACAUUUAUCAGCAAAAUAACAUCCAUGACAUAAUCAUGGUAGAAGCAGGGAAUUUUUUUUUACUGUGCUUAUAACGGCACCAUAAUCAUAUACCAUUGUUGUGAUAGUUCAAAUUUGAUAUGGUACUUUUAACCAUCAGAAAUGUUAUCAUGGUAAUCACUAAACUGAUUAUUGUUUCAUCCCAACCUGUGUGAAUGCCCUUUGUCGUCUUCUCUAGCUUUUGCAAAAUUGCCUUGUCAAGAACAAUCUUCUGCAGGUGUUCAAAGGCAGCAGAGUUUGGACAAAGCCAGGGCCGCA